rnacentral:rRNA from 1 species
GACGAACGCUGGCGGCGUGCCUAAUACAUGCAAGUCGAACGCACUGACGUCGACAGAAGGUGCUUGCACUGGAAGUUGAUUGACGUGAGUGGCGGACGGGUGAGUAACACGUGAGUAACCUGCCCUUAAGCGGGGGAUAACAUUUGGAAACAGAUGCUAAUACCGCAUAAAAGUUGAGAUCACAUGGUCUUAAUUUGAAAGACGGCCUUUGGCUGUCACUUAAGGAUGGACCCGCGGCGUAUUAGCUAGUUGGUGAGAUAAUAGCCCACCAAGGCGAUGAUACGUAGCCGACCUGAGAGGGUAAUCGGCCACAUUGGGACUGAGACACGGCCCAAACUCCUACGGGAGGCAGCAGUAGGGAGUCUUCCGCAAUGGACGAAAGUCUGAUGGAGCAACGCCGCGUGAGUGAAGAAGGUUUUCGGAUCGUAAAACUCUGUUGUUGGAGAAGAACAGGGACUAGAGUAACUGUUAGUCCUUUGACGGUAUCCAACCAGAAAGCCACGGCUAACUACGUGCCAGCCGCCGCAGUAA